rnacentral:rRNA from 1 species
GUAGUCCACGCCGUAAACGAUGUCAACUAGCCGUCGGACUCCUUGAGGGUUUGGUGGCGCAGCUAACGCGAUAAGUUGACCGCCUGGGGAGUACGGCCGCAAGGUUAAAACUCAAAUGAAUUGACGGGGGCCCGCACAAGCGGUGGAGCAUGUGGUUUAAUUCGAUGCAACGCGAAGAACCUUACCAGGCCUUGACAUCCUCGGAACUUAGCAGAGAUGCUUCGGUGCCUUCGGGAGCCGAGAGACAGGUGCUGCAUGGCUGUCGUCAGCUCGUGUCGUGAGAUGUUGGGUUAAGUCCCGUAACGAGCGCAACCCUUGUCCUUAGUUGCCAGCGCGUAAUGGCGGGAACUCUAGGGAGACCGCCGGUGACAAACCGGA